rnacentral:rRNA from 1 species
CCUACGGGAGGCUGCAGUGGGGAAUAUUGGACAAUGGGGGGAACCCUGAUCCAGCCAUGCCGCGUGUGUGAAGAAGGCCCUCGGGUUGUAAAGCACUUUCAGUGAGGAAGAACGCCUGGUGGUUAAUACCCAUCAGGAAAGACAUCACUCACAGAAGAAGCACCGGCUAACUCCGUGCCAGCAGCCGCGGUAAUACGGAGGGUGCGAGCGUUAAUCGGAAUUACUGGGCGUAAAGCGCGCGUAGGUGGCUUGAUAAGCCGGUUGUGAAAGCCCCGGGCUCAACCUGGGAACGGCAUCCGGAACUGUCAAGCUAGAGUGCAGGAGAGGAAGGUAGAAUUCCCGGUGUAGCGGUGAAAUGCGUAGAGAUCGGGAGGAAUACCAGUGGCGAAGGCGGUCUUCUGGACUGACACUGACACUGAGGUGCGAAAGCGUGGGUAGCAAACAGGAUUAGAUACCCGGGUAGUC